AUGCUCAUUUCAGUAGCACAUGUACUACAAAUGAAACAACAGAGACAAUCAACAUGGCCCCUACGUACGGGUGACGCCCAUUUGUAAAAGGUACCAUACUUUUCU
ensembl:snRNA U6 U6 spliceosomal RNA